AUAGAGAGAAGCACACUAAAGAAUUUUGGUAGUGUUCCAGCAGCUUCUGGAGCGACCUGCCAUUGCUGAAUUGUGAAUGGUGUUUGCGAGUGGAUCGGGCUGCCUCUGCUGAUUCAUGUGAACUGAACUGCUAAUAUCCUGACAAUGCAGACUGGACUCACUCCAAAGAACUAUUUCUAAACAGGAUAGACCUUCCCACUUCAGUUAACCUGGCUGGAAGGUCCACCCGGCAGACAUGACCAAGCUGAACAACUGUGGGGCACUAAGAGCCAUUCAGUGAACAAUCAUGGAACUGUGAAGGUCAUUUGUCAUGUUGAGAAGGUGGGUGUUUAGAGUCAUAAUAUUUGUUCUGUGUGCACAUGUGGGGUUCCUAUUUAAUAAUGAUUUUACAUUUUGAGAGCAGUUUUAAGUUCACAACAAAAAUGAGGAGAAAAUACACAAUCUGAUACAGAUCCUUCUGCCCCGGUACAGCCCACCCCUCUAUCCACAUCCCCUAAGAGGAGAGUGUUAGUUUACUACAUCAAUAUACUGUGACGGUGAUGCAUCGUAGUCUCUCAGUCCGCCGAAGACACUCGGGUCACUGGCGCAGUCCAUUUCAUGAGUCUGGUAAUUGCUGUCUACCACAGUACUCAUGUUCCGUUUCCACUCAGUUGCCAGUACUCUCUGCUCAGCUCGCUCGUCCAUUCUCUGCCGCAACACCUGAAAUGUUUGCGCUCUGAGGUUUCGCCUUGUCCAUCUGGAAUCCUGCGGUGCAUUUGCUCUCUGAGGUUUCGCCUUGUCCAUCUGGAAUCAUGCGGUGCAGUCUUUGAAGAUUUGCUUCCUUCGAUUAGAAUUCAGCUAAGGCUCUUCCUCAGCACGUCACCGCAUCUGAAGCCCUUUCCUUUUUCAGUGUCGACUAAUCUUCCGUCACACGGAUGUACAAGUUGCCUUUUCCAUUUAUCUGCUGAAGGACAUCUUUGUGGCUUCCAACAUUUUAUGCUUAUAAAAAGGCUGCUAUCAU